rnacentral:rRNA from 1 species
AUUGAACGCUGGCGGCAGGCCUAACACAUGCAAGUCGAGCGGAUGAAGGGAGCUUGCUCCUUGAUUCAGCGGCGGACGGGUGAGUAAUGCCUAGGAAUCUGCCUGGUAGUGGGGGAUAACGUCCGGAAACGGGCGCUAAUACCGCAUACGUCCUGAGGGAGAAAGUGGGGGAUCUUCGGACCUCACGCUAUCAGAUGAGCCUAGGUCGGAUUAGCUAGUUGGUGGGGUAAAGGCCUACCAAGGCGACGAUCCGUAACUGGUCUGAGAGGAUGAUCAGUCACACUGGAACUGAGACACGGUCCAGACGCCUACGGGAGGCAGCAGUGGGGAAUAUUGGACAAUGGGCGAAAGCCUGAUCCAGCCAUGCCGCGUGUGUGAAGAAGGUCUUCGGAUUGUAAAGCACUUUAAGUUGGGAGGAAGGGCAGUAAGUUAAUACCUUGCUGUUUUGACGUUACCAACAGAAUAAGCACCGGCUAACUUCGUG